rnacentral:rRNA from 1 species
UCUGGUCUUGGGACACUGUCAGGUGGGCAGUUUGACUGGGGCGGUCGCCUCCCAAAAGGGAACGGAGGCGCUCAAAGGUUCUCUCAGUACGGUCGGAAAUCGUACGUAGAGUGUAAAGGCAAAAGAGAGCUUGAUUGCAAGACAUACAGGUCGAGCAAGGAUGAAAAUCGGACUUAGGGAUCCGGUGGUUCUGCGUGGAAGGGCCAUCGCUCAACGGAUAAAAGCUACCCUGGGGAUAACAGGCUUAUCUCCCCCAAGAGUCCACAUCGACGGGGAGGUUUGGCACCUCGAUGUCGGCUCAUCACAUCCUGGGGCUGUAGUAGGUCCCAAGGGUUGGGCUGUUCGCCCAUUAAAGUGGUACGCG